UAUUUUCCCCAUUCACCAAGUGAAAUCCCUGCUUCGUUAUCUCUCCUGCUGUUUCAUCUCCCCAAAUUUCCUACCCAUUCCAUUUACUCUUCUCCAGUUUCCCAACGUCCUCUCCUCGAAAUUUUCUGCCCAAUUGUCUGUGUGCAUUCCCACUAUUCUCUCUAUCUGAAUUUUUUCUUCUUGAAAGGAGGUGCUUUGAAAUUGAAAGCAUAUGUUUUUGAAUUUCAAAAUCAAAAUUGUGUGGAUCACUAAUCUGCCCACUCUAUUUAGAGGAAAUUUCAUCUGACCAUAGCUCCCUCCUCCUCUCUCGCCAAGCUCCACCACACCAAGGAAUUCGCGUCGCCCUUUUCCGACCUAACCAGAAGCGGUCUUCUUCCUCGAGAGCCCCUAAUUAGACCUCGCCGCUGUCGGUUUAACCUUCCUAAACGACUCCCAUAUCAACAACCUCCCCCACCUUUGCACAUGAGUGAGCGGAGAAUUUGAGUUGGGUUUUCAGUUUCAGCGGCUUUGAACGGUUGGGUUUCUAGAUUGAGAAGCUAAUUCCAGAGAGAAGGAAAGGAAAUCUGUAAUGUAACAUUCAAAUCUAAGCCUCAAAUUUACAAUUGGUUUCUUAGGAGGAUUAGAAGAAGUGGGAAAAAUGCUCUCUUCUUUUAGGGAAGAUGUUUAACUCAUCCAUUGUUACAAGAGAAACAGAUACUGAACUGAAAGUUCAUUUUCAGGAUUUUUCAGUUCAGAAUUGGUAAAUUUCAUGCUUAGGUGAAGGACCUGGAGUCAUUGAAUACUUGAGAAUUGGAGGCAUUGGUAUUAAGGGAAGUGCAAAAUGGUUGGUGGAAGUCAUUUAGAGUUUUCCAUUCCUAUUCAGAGAAUCCAUGAAGUCAAAUGUCAAAUAUAGCUUAACUCAAGGAAAAUUUAGAUGGAGAGAACUCAGAGCAGACAUCAAAGGAGAAAAAGUUGCAACUGAGCUAACAAUUGUUGUUAAUAAAACUUAAUCCAAGGCUUAGGAUGAAUUAAUUCCAUAUUAGCUGAAAGAUGGAUAAAUGAUAUAUUUGUAAUCAUGACAUCAUUAUGAGAGAUAAUGCAUUUUUCCCCAACUGUAUUGUCCAUUUCUCGAAGAAGAGGGUAUUGCAAAGUAACCGUCAAUGUAGUUUUUACAAUGCAGUUUCAUAUUAAAAGUGUUCUAUUUAAUAAUAUGGUCUAUUUUUUUUAAUUA